GGAGAGGUGGCUCAGGUAUUGAGAGCCUUGGCUGCUCUGCCAGAGGACCUGGGUUCAAACCCCAACCUCUCCA
rnacentral:tRNA from 1 species